GGCACUUGACUUCCAGGAAAACAAAACUCCACUCCCCUUCGCCAAGGAGUUUGCAGUAAAUGGUCCACAAUUUUAUUACGUUCAUCAACAUCCAAAUUGAUGCAGUUCUCAAAUUCUAAAAUUUUAAUAGUCUGGAGUUGGAAUAAACUGGAUGCUGACUCAAGACAAGUGCAAUUUGUUGCACAUAAUUUGAGGAGAGAUGGAAGCUCCGGUAAAUAUUUUAGUCUCUUGCAAUCACUUAAAUCAAGUUCAACUAGUCUUGAAAGUUGUUUG
rnacentral:misc_RNA from 1 species